rnacentral:rRNA from 1 species
UACGUAGGUGGCAAGCGUUGUCCGGAUUUACUGGGCGUAAAGCGCACGUAGGCGGUCCGUUAAGUCGAAUGUGAAAGCUCCCGGCUUAACUGGGAAAUUGCAUCGGAAACUGAUCGGCUGGAAGGUGGGAGAGGGUAGCGGAAUUCCCGGUGUAGUGGUGAAAUGCGUAGAUAUCGGGAGGAACACCAGUGGCGAAAGCGGCUACCUGGCCCAUUCUUGACGCUGAGGCGCGAAAGCUAGGGGAGCAAACGGG